UUCUAGUACGUAAGGUUCAUAGGAAUUCAGAGACUGAAUAUAUACCUAAAACAAAGCAGUCACUGCAUAAUAAAUAAUUUAUGACAGUAAAAUAUUUUAUUUAUAUGGGGUAGCCAAGUACUUACCAUUGUUUUUGCAGUAUAUAUGGAAUUUUAAAAAUUUAAUUGGAUAAGAGUGUCACUUCAUUGACCUCUUGCUUGAAGUAAAGUUGGUGCUUCUGGGAAUCUGGGAAAUCUAUUUGAACAAGAUGCUUCAGUUAAUUUAAGUGAAUCACUUCACUAAUUUGAUUGCAGUUAUUAGAUCUAUUAAUUGCAUAUGUAUGUAAGCAGUCUAUGAUCUAAAAUGUUACUGUGAUAUUAUUAAAUACAUGAUUCCUUUUUCUGAAGCAGGAGAUAUUAACAACCAGUGUUUGGCCAAAUUCUGUACAUACAAGUUUUCAGAGAAGUGAGAAGGUCAAAAACUAGUCUUGAAUUUACAGAAUCAGGUGGUUAAGGAAAACUGAAUACAGUAUACCUUUAUUUUAAUGUAUAUUAUAUAUAGUCAGGAGGAUUAAAAAGUAACAAGACACUACUCCUUAUUUAAAACAUUCACCCCUUUGUGGUAGUUGCAUGCGUCAUUAAUUGAAUUUAACAAAAGUAAGAUUUUGUUAAAUGCAGCGAUGGUGUGCUAUAAUCAAUUAAAUUAAAAAAUAGAGAGUUAGAUUCAGAGGGAUUCAGUAAGAUAUAAUACUCUUAUUGGCAAAAUUCAGGAUGGUGACCAUAACCAUCUGAUGGUGACCUUAAAAAUCAAGGGAGGGACUAUUGAUCCAAAUACAACUUAAUAUCCCACUAGCAGGAAUUAGAGUCACAGUUGUUGAUGGCAGUAAACCUUACCAGUAAUGAGAAUAAUUAGGGGAAGAUAGCUUAGGUCAAAAUUUGCUUACCUGGGGAGUGGGGUUUCCACCAAUCACAGUUCUCUCAUCUAAAUUUUAAUGUGCAAAGGUAGAAGAAAAAAAUAAAGUAAUAAUAGAGAAGGAAAGGAUGGGCGUGUUGAGAACUGGGGCAGAGGACCAGGAACUGCUCUGUUAGUACCCUGAGUUGACUCUCUUUGAAUAAUGGCCACUUCGUGAAGAGGAUCAGAAUACAACUAUAUGUGGGAUCCUCUGUAUACCUCACUUAGCUCGUAUUUUGGAUCCUGUGUCUUAGCAUCUGUAUCUGUGUACUUUUCCAUUAUCAGAUGAAAUUUGUUUUCCCCUUUGGAUUCAUCCCUUUUCAUAUAUUUAGGGAAUUUGUUCUAAUACAUACCCUUUCUGUCAGCAUCAUCAAACUGUUCUUUUCCACAGGCUGCUUUUCCUGUGACUUUAUACAUGCUUAUGACUUCCUUAAAGCAGCAGCAAACAACCUUGGAGAAAAGUUUUUGCAGUAAAACAGAGUUGAUCUUUCAGUGACCUAAAGAGCUCAUUCAUAGUCUAAGAAAAAAAGUCAUUAGAUCCUGCCAUAAUGGGGUAAUGAGUAUUGGAUUUAUCCUGUCUCCAUAAUCAACCAUAAAACUGGAUAAAAUACAUGUAGCAACUGAGGUUUUCUUAGCAUUAGAUAGCAGAGCAUAGGACAGUGAUCCUUGAGAGAAGGAAAACCCAAGAGAUUUAAAACCGAAGAGACUAAUGAUGUGAAAUCGUGGUCAGUGAAUUGCUGAAAGAUCCCUUAGGACCAGUCUCUGUAGGGAAGGUAUAAGGAAAGAUAAGAUUAAGCGUCAGUCAUAACUGUACAAGGGAGGAAGGCAGAAGAAACCAGGAAUAUUAGAUCUCUUAAUAUUUGAAUAAUUGUGAGGAUUAAACUCUUAUGCUGUUGCUUCUAUGUAAUGUUGUUGGCUCAUUACUGGAGAAAUAAUAAAAAUGAAAGAAAACUAUGACAGGUUGAUUUGGUUGAGCAAAAGAAUAUUGAUUAUUAUCAUUUAUAUGAGAUAUUUAACUUUUGUGCCUGAAUACUUUGCCACACAAAAAACAAUUGUACAUAUCAUUAAAUUUGUAUUAAAGUUAUAAAUCAGUCUUAAUAUCAUGUAAUUCAGUUAGUGUGUACUCAGGCAAUUAAUUGGUGCUCAAGUUGUAUGGACAUUGACUCAUAAGUUAAAAUGCUUAGCGGAAAAGAUAAAGCAUUUGCUUUAGAAUAGUGCAUGCAUUCACUUACGACAUCAAGAGGAAGCAAUCACACAAAUCUGAGUAUGUGAGAUUCUCAAGUCAACUGUACUGGACUCCAAAAAGUGAAUAUCAUAAGGGGAAAAAAGGUGGAAGGACUGUUCUAGACAAAAGUUACAAGAGACAUUCAAAAUGCAUGAACUUGUAUUUGAUCUGUUUCUCAGGUAAAAGCUCUUUAAGACAUUCUUGUGAUAAUUAGGGAAAAUGUGAAUGUGGGCUGCGUGCUAUAUUGUGAAAUUGUUAAUUUUCUUAGGUGAUAUAAUGGAAUUGUUAUUGAGAAUUUGUUUCUUCUUAGGAAAUGCGUGUCAAACUAUUUAGGGUUCAAAUGUCUUAAUGUCUGCAACUUUUAUAUGCUACAGCAAAAUACAUGUGUUAAAUAUAUCUGUGUAUGUAGAAAGAGGAAAUAAACUGGCAAAUAAUUAUUCAAUCAAGGUAAAGCCUGUACAGUUGUCCCCUUCUUUCAAAUUGUCUUUGCUUUAAAAACUAUUUUAAUAAUAAAAAGUUGCACACGUUUGCACACAUUUGGCAAUUUUUAAAACACCUUCAAAAAAGAAAUCAUGGUGAAAAUUAGAAAAUGCUGAGAACUGGAUGGUAAUGAAAAGAUUUUCUUUUUUUUUUUUCUUCUUUUCUCCCCCAUGGGUUUCUGUUAAGUUUCUCAGGAUCCACAUAAGAGUGAAACCAUAUGGUAUCUGUCUUUCUCUGUAUGGCUUAUUUCACUUAGCAUAACACUCUCCAGUUCCAUCCAUGUUGCUACAAAGGGCCAUAUUUCAUUCUUUCUCAUUGCCACGUAGUACUCCAUUGUGUAUAUAAACCACAAUUUCUUUAUCCAUUCAUCAGUUGAUGGACAUUUAGGUUCUUUCCAUAAUUUGGCUAUUGUUGAGAGUGCUGCUAUAAAC